UGAUUAGGCAUUCAUAAGAUUUCAUUAUUUAGUAGCAGACUUAUUCUUGUGUUUUUGGCAUUCACAAGCUUUGACCUAUUUAGUAGUAGGCUUAUAGAGGUUGCUAGACCUUAGUGUUAAAUAGGCUUUCAGGCUUCAUCGAACCUUUAAAAAGGCUUGAUCAGACCUUAAAAAUGAGUAUAUGACGGGUAAUAGGUCAGACUCAGGCCUAUAAUUUUUUAUGUAGGCCACACUUAGACCUUAC
rnacentral:lncRNA from 1 species